GAUGAACGCUGGCGGCGUGCCUAAUACAUGCAAGUCGAGCGAACGGACGAGAAGCUUGCUUCUCUGAUGUUAGCGGCGGACGGGUGAGUAACACGUGGAUAACCUACCUAUAAGACUGGGAUAACUUCGGGAAACCGGAGCUAAUACCGGAUAAUAUUUUGAACCGCAUGGUUCAAAAGUGAAAGACGGUCUUGCUGUCACUUAUAGAUGGAUCCGCGCUGCAUUAGCUAGUUGGUAAGGUAACGGCUUACCAAGGCAACGAUGCAUAGCCGACCUGAGAGGGUGAUCGGCCACACUGGAACUGAGACACGGUCCAGACUCCUACGGGAGGCAGCAGUAGGGAAUCUUCCGCAAUGGGCGAAAGCCUGACGGAGCAACGCCGCGUGAGUGAUGAAGGUCUUCGGAUCGUAAAACUCUGUUAUUAGGGAAGAACAUAUGUGUAAGUAACUGUGCACAUCUUGACGGUACCCAAUCAGAAAGCCACGGCUAACUACGUG
rnacentral:rRNA from 1 species